CCGGCGCACGGGUGAGUAACACGUAUGCAACCUGCCUGCCACAGCCGGAUAAUCGGGAGAAAUUCCGUCUAAUACGGCAUAAUGCAUCGACGGGACAUCCUGUUGGUGCCAAAGGUUAAUUCCGGUGGCGGAUGGGCAUGCGUCGCAUUAGUUAGUUGGCGGUGUAACGGACCACCAAGACGACGAUGCGUAGGGGUUCUGAGAGGAAGGUCCCCCACACUGGUACUGAGACACGGACCAGACUCCUACGGAAGGCAGCAG
rnacentral:rRNA from 1 species